rnacentral:rRNA from 1 species
AUUGAACGCUGGCGGCAGGCUUAACACAUGCAAGUCGAGCGAGCGGCGGACGGGUGGGUAAUGUCUGGGACACUGCCUGAUGGAGGGGGAUAACUACUGGAAACGGUAGCUAAUACCGCAUACUAUCAGAUGUGCCCAGAGGGGAUUAGCUAGUAGGUGGGGUAAUGGCACACCUAGGCGACGAUCCCGCGCUGGUCUGAGAGGAUGACCAGCCAGACUGGGACUGAGACACGGUCCAAGCUCCUACGGGAGGCAGCAGUGGGGAAUAUUGCACAAUGGGCGCAAGCCUGAUGCAGCCAUGCCGAGUGUGUGAAGAAGGCCUUCGGGUUGUAAAACACUGUCAGCGAGGAGGCGUUACUCGCAGAAGAAGCACCGGCUAACUCCGUGCCAGCAGCCGCGGUAAUAC